UGCGUAGGCGGGUUGGCAAGUCGGGUGUGAAAUUCCAUAGCUUAACUAUGGACCUGCAUUCGAAACUGUUGAUCUUGAGUACUGGAGAGGUGAGUGGAAUUCUCGGUGUAGCGGUGAAAUGCGUAGAUAUCGAGAGGAACACCGUUGGCGAAGGCGGCUCACUGGACAGAUACUGACGCUGAGGCACGAAGGUCGGGGGAGCAAACAGGAUUAGAUACCCUGGUAGUCCCGACGGUAAACGAUGGGCACUAGGUGUCGGAGGUAUCGACCCCUCCGGUGCCGCAGUUAACACAUUAAGUGCCCCGCCUGGGGAGUACGACCGCAAGGUUGAA
rnacentral:rRNA from 1 species